rnacentral:rRNA from 1 species
UACGUAGGGUGCAAGCGUUGUCCGGAAUUAUUGGGCGUAAAGAGCUCGUAGGCGGUUUGUCGCGUCGAAUGUGAAAACCCGGGGCUCAACCCCGGGCCUGCAUUCGAUACGGGCAGACUAGAGUGCGGUAGGGGAGAUUGGAAUUCCUGGUGUAGCGGUGGAAUGCGCAGAUAUCAGGAGGAACACCGGUGGCGAAGGCGGUUCUCUGGGCCUGUACUGACGCUGAGGAGCGAAAGCGUGGGGAGCAAACAGG